rnacentral:rRNA from 1 species
GAUGAACGCUGGCGGCGUGCCUAAUACAUGCAAGUCGAGCGAACAGACGAGGAGCUUGCUCCUUCGACGUUAGCGGCGGACGGGUGAGUAACACGUAGGUAACCUACCUAUAAGACUGGGAUAACUUCGGGAAACCGGAGCUAAUACCGGAUAAUAUUUCGAACCGCAUGGUUCGAUAGUGAAAGAUGGCUUUGCUAUCACUUAUAGAUGGACCUGCGCCGUAUUAGCUAGUUGGUAAGGUAACGGCUUACCAAGGCAACGAUACGUAGCCGACCUGAGAGGGUGAUCGGCCACACUGGAACUGAGACACGGUCCAGACUCCUACGGGAGGCAGCAGUAGGGAAUCUUCCGCAAUGGGCGAAAGCCUGACGGAGCAACGCCGCGUGAGUGAUGAAGGUCUUCGGAUCGUAAAACUCUGUUAUUAGGGAAGAACAAACGUGUAAGUAACUGUGCACGUCUUGACGGUACCUAAUCAGAAAGCCACGACUAACUACGUG